AUUGAACGCUGGCGGCAUGCUUUACACAUGCAAGUCGAACGGCAGCGGGGUAGUGCUUGCACUACUGCCGGCGAGUGGCGAACGGGUGAGUAAUAUAUCGGAACGUACCGAGUAAUGGGGGAUAACCAAUCGAAAGAUUGGCUAAUACCGCAUACGUCCUAAGGGAGAAAGCGGGGGAUCGCAAGACCUCGCGUUAUUCGAGCGGCCGAUAACUGAUUAGCUAGUUGGUGGGGUAAAGGCCUACCAAGGCGACGAUCAGUAGCGGGUCUGAGAGGACGAUCCGCCACACUGGGACUGAGACACGGCCCAGACUCCUACGGGAGGCAGCAGUGGGGAAUUUUGGACAAUGGGGGCAACCCUGAUCCAGCCAUGCCGCGUGUAUGAAGAAGGCCUUUCGGGUUGUAAAGUGCUUGUUAGGGAGAAAAGGGAAGUGCUAAUACCACUUUUUGCUGACGGUAC
rnacentral:rRNA from 1 species